rnacentral:rRNA from 1 species
AACAAAAACAUCUCUUUAUGUUUAUAUAUAAAGUAUAACCUGCCCAAUGAUUAUAAUUUAAUGGCCGCAGUAUUUUGACUGUGCAAAGGUAGCAUAAUAAUUAGUUUUUUAAUUAAAAGCUUGUAUGAAUGGUUUAAUGAGAUAAAAACUUUAUUAUUUUAAUUAAUAUUAGAAUUUAAUUUUUUAGUUAAAAAGCUUAAAUUAUUUUAAAAGACGAGAAGACCCUAUAGAUCUUUAUUUAAAUUUAAUAAAUAUAAUUUUAGAAAAUAUUAAUAUUUUAUUAAAUUAAAUUUUAUUGGGGUAAUAUAAAAAUUUAAAAAAUUUUUUAUUUUUGAAAACAUAAAUUUAUGGAAAAUUGAUCCUUUAAUAAAGAUUAUAAGAUUAAGUUACCUUAGGGAUAACAGCGUAAUUUUUUUGGAGAGUUCUUAUCAAUAAAAAAGAUUGCGACCUCGAUGUUG